CAGGGGCCUCUCCGCUCCUGGGGUACAGCACAGACUUUUGCCCUUCCCCUCAACCAAGCAACAUUUGCUCAGCACAUACCCUGAGCUGGGCACAAAUUUGCUGAGGGCUGGAGAUCAAAGAUAAAUAAAAGUGUCGCAGCCUUAAAGGAUGUCAGUCUGUUGGGGCACAUUCAAAUUGGAUCAUUAUAAUGCAACUUGGGACGUGUGUCACUGGAGCUGCGCUUCAUGUCCCAUAAGUUUGCAACCACAAGUUGCACACCAGAGCCCAAGUCAAAUAGCACAGUACAAUGCCCUUUUGUUAGGGAAGGAGGACCGUGACUCACCCUAGCGUUUUCUCUGUGCACAGAAACAGAUGACCUGCGUAGGAGCAAAUGGCUAACCAAUGCUCCCUUAGAGACCCAGCCUCCUAGGAGGAGUCCUGACAGCUGACUCUUGAGGCAUGGCUUUUGCCAGGAGGUGCCAUGUCUGCACCCAGGAUCCGAACCGGUGAACCCCGGGCUGCCGAGAAGUGGAACAUGUGAACCUAACCCCUGUGCCACCAGUGGCUGUACCGUUCUGUCCUGUCCCAGAAGCAGUGAGUGAAAGUUCCUGUUGCUUCACAUCAUGGCAGGCCACUGUCAACACAUUUAGUCUGGCUUGUGACUUGGAUAUCUUUGUCCGACUUGUCUGGGAUAAGGGGGCUUUUCUUUCUGAAUUCCAGAACUACAUUAAUUAGGCACCAGGAGCCUCCAUUCCCAAACUCAAUUGGAGCAUCCAUCAUGGGCCCUUUGUGUCACCUUUGUGGGCCUUCUGGGGCAGGAGGAAGCAACACAAUAUCCAUGGAACAGGAGCAGAUUAACCUGUUACCUUGUAAGCAGGGUAAAUUCCAGGCCUUGCACAGAUCUUGACAGUCCUACAUUCAG
rnacentral:lncRNA from 1 species